AGUACAUUCCCUUCUCCUACUUCACGCGGACGCCGGAGCCACACAACUUCGGCGGGACAAUGUUAGAGCUCCAGCCCAUCAUCACCAAGAAGCUCAACGUCUGUAUGGAGUACCAGGUGCCGCCGAGUCAUCUCCACGGGCAGCGGCUUGAUAACGGGACGUGGAUGGGGUUACUGGGCAUGCUGGUGCUGGAGGAGGUCGACAUGGGGGGCACGCCGAUGACUCUUAGUGACGAGCGAAUCCAGGCUAUGGACCCGAGUGUUCCGCUGUACAUGGACGUCCAGACCCUCGCCUACAAGCGGCCCUUGCUAGAGUCUGACCUGCUGGGCUUCAUUAAACUCUACACGCGGGAGGAGGCGCAGCAGGAGGAGGAAGAGGAGGUGGUAGAGGGAGAAGGGAGGAAAAUGGAAGAGAUAGUAAAAGGAGAAGGGAAGGAAGAAGAGGACGAAGAUGAGAUUGUGGGUUGUAGAGGAUGGGAGGAGAAGAAAAAAGGAGGAACAGGAGGAGAAAGAGAUAAUAUUGUGGUAAAGGAGAUACUAAUAUUGGUAAAGAUGGAAGAAAAGGAGAGAGAAAAGGAGUAGGAAGAGGCAGUAGAGGGAGAAAGGAAGGAGGAGCAGGAAGAAGGGGAGAAUCUGAAUUGAAGAAACGGAAAUAAAAGCAGUAAAGGAGAGAAGGAAGAAGAAAGGACAGUGAUAAAAGAGUUGAUAGUUUUAGUAGAGGAGAAAAGGAGAGGGAGGAGGUGUUGGUGGUAGUGGUGGUUUUCAUGGGAUAGAAAUAACAGGAGGAGAAACAAGAAUAAAAGAGAAAAGAUAGGAACAAGAAAGAGGAAGCAGAAGAGGAGGAGGAGGAGCAGGAGGAGAUGAAGACCGCGGAGCAACAAAUGGAAAAUAACAAGGAGCAGGUGGAGGAGAGGAGGAAAAUCAGGCAGGGAAAAAGAAAACCCCGGCGAAAGAGGAGGAGGAGAACAGGCAUGUGAGGAGAAAAAAAAAAUAUCCGGUUAUGUUGUAAGUUACAUGAGUUGACAAAUAUCUUCAUGCAAUUCAGAGUUAGAACAGCGUAAAGAUAGAGAAGUGGAUCGUCUGAUGAAAAGGGACUCGAGUAUCUACGUGUUUUUUUUAUAUUAUAUUUGUCAUUGUUUGUUUUUAUUUUCAUUUUACGUGUUUUAUUUUAUUAUUUUUCAUAUUUUUUCCUCUUCAAGGUGUGGCUCCUGCUGGGGAUGGCGCUGGUGGUUGUCGCUGUCAGUGGCUUCGUAGUCGACAAAAACUACAGCAAAAUCCUGCAGCUAAUCCCUUACUCGCCUCGUCCGGUUUCCACUUCCCGCCGCCGCUUCCUCCUCUUCCUCCUCCUCAGCGGCGAUCAAGGGUGGAGCAGCAUCUCACAGCAGCAUCAGCCUCGCGGACAUCUUCCACUGGGCGUUUGGCAUUUUCUUGGGGCAAGGUAAGUUGAUGUACGGGUUUCUCCUCCUCCUCCUCCUCCUCCUCCUCCUUCUUCUGGAAUUUAAAUUAGCAAUGUCGUUUUGUCUCCCGGCGGUUGAGUAGGCUGUGCACUCUUUAACUUAAAGUUUCAUCGUCUAACGCCAUGGUUUACCCUCAAAGUGAAGAUAAUAAGGAGGAACAGUAGAAAUGGUUAACUUCUAUAGUGGCAUUUAACAUAAUAAAGUCGAUAUUUAAUGAAGGAAAACGAGAGACAAUUUACAGAAAAUUGAUUAUCGCAAUUUAACAUAAAAUGGUGCAGAAGACCCAUAGCCUAGCUGUAUAUAACUAACUAUCGGAGUACAUUGCGGC